rnacentral:SRP_RNA from 1 species
GCCAGGUGCAGUGGCACAUGCCUGUAAUCCCAGCUACUUGGGAGGCUGACGCUGGAGGAUCGCUUGAGUCCAGGAGUUCUGGGCUGUAAUGCACUAUGCCAAUUGGGUGUCUGCACUAAGUUCGGCAUCAAUAUGGUGACCUCCUGGGAGCGGGGUGCCACCAGGUUGCCUAAGGAGGGGUAAACUAGCCCAGGUCAGAAAUGGAGGAGGUCAAAACUCCUGGGCUUAUCAGUAGUGGGAUUUUGCCUGUGAAUAGCCACUGCACUACAGCCUGGGCAACAUAGCAAGACCCCAUCUCU